ensembl:snoRNA U3 Small nucleolar RNA U3
AAGACUAUACUUUCAGGGAUCAUUUCUAUAGUUCUUGACUUGAGAAAUGUGUUUCUAAAGUGUUUGGUCUCGCUAACCACGAUGAUGAGUUGGUGAUACUCUUUCCUGAGCGCGAAGCAGGUAGAAAGACUUGGUUUAUUCCUUAUGCUUUCUGCUCUUGAUGACCGUUCACUGUUCCCUUCGGGGUUCAGCGAGGGAAGGAGUAUGAUCAGAGUGGU